rnacentral:lncRNA from 1 species
CAGCAAUGUGGGUCAACAGAAGAGACUGCUUACUGUUUAUUAAGUACACAUUAAAACCUAAGUGGUCAUUUAAAUAAAAAUAACAACGUAUUAUUAAUUUUAUUACAUAUAUGAACAUAAAAUGUAUGAAAACAACUGCAUAAAAUUGGGACUGGCAAAAAAGGUAUAUAAUUGUACAGUUCUUACGCAUGAAGUAGUAUAUUACAUCUCUUGAAAAUAACUGUGUCACAGCUUGCCAGGAGUAAAGAAUAAAAUAAAAAAGAAAGAAAGAAACUGUGGUAAGUCAAGAUGUACCUCUGCUACCCCUGACACAGCAAGACCAACCCUUCCUCCUCCAAUACAUUUAUGAUGAUCCCCUUUUACUUAACGAGUUGUAAAACCCUAAAGUAAUCCCUCAAAUAACAAAACAAAGAGUUAUAAUUAAUACAUUAACAGAGGGCCAGGCGUGGUGGCUCACACCUGUAAUCCCAGCACUUUGGGAGGCCCAGGUGGGCAGAUUGCUUGAGACCAGGAGUUUAAGAGCAGCCUGGGCAACAGAGUGAGACCUCAUCUCUAAAAGAAAAAAAAAUUUUUUUAAAUUAACCAGGCGUGGUGGUGUGCACCUAUAGUCCCAGCUACUCAGGAGGCUGAGGCAGGAGGAUUACUUGAGCCCAGGAGGUCAAGGCUGCAGUGAGCUAUGAUUUCACUACUGUACUUCAGCCUGGGUGACAGUGAGACCUUGUCUCAAAAAAGAAAAAAUCAGUUAGAAAAACAAACAAACAAACAAACAAAAAAAUAUAUAUAUAUAUAAAAAAAAUCAGAGAUGAUAAAAUGGAAUCAUAAAAAAUGCCCAAUUCAAAAAAGAUAAAAAUAGAUAUAGAGGGGAAACAAACAGCUGGGGCAAAUUAAAAAAUAGUAAAAUGGUAAAUUUAAUCCUACUGUGUCAAUAACCAUAUUAAAUGUGAAUGGUAUAAACAGUUCAGUUAAAAGGCAGAGAUUGUUAGACUGGAUAAAAAGCAAGACGACGAUAUGCUGUCUACAAAAAGUACACUUUAAAAACAUAGGCAGGUUAAAAGUAAAAGGAUGGAUAGAGCUACACCAUGCUAAUGCUAGUCAAAAGAAAUAAAAAGUGACCAUAUUAAUAUCACAGAAAGUAGAUGUAAGAGUAAGGGCAGUUACUAGGGAUAAAGAAAGUAAUUUCACAGUGAUAAGGGAUCAACUGAUUAAACUACAUAAAAAUCCUAAAUGUGUAUGCCCCCAAUAACAGAGCCCCAAAAUACAUGAACCAAAAAUUGAAAGAAAGAAAAGCAGAACAUUUUUUCAUGUGUUUUUUGGUGCAUAAAUGUCUUCUUUUGAGAAGUGUCUGUUCAUGUCCUUUGCCCACUUUUUGAUGGGGUUGUUUUUUUCUUGUAAAUUUGAGUUCAUUGUAGAUUCUGGAUAUUAGCC